UUUUCUUGAGUCGUAACUUCAUUUUGGACAUCCAUGGUGGUUGGUGUCUCCUGAUCCGCAGAACCAUAUAGCUCAUAGCCCAACUCUGGUUCAGAAUCAGACGGUGCCGGUGCCGGUGCCGGUGCAAGUGGUGCUCCUUCUUCUGGUGCAUCUGCCACUGUUAAUUCUGGUGCUGGUGCAUAUGUUGGUCCAUAUAAAGGUGCAUCUGCCACUGUUAAUUCUGGUGCUGGUGCAUACGUUGGUCCAUAUAAAGGUGAAUAUGUUGGUGUAUAUGAUGGUGUAGGUGUAGGUGUUUCUGGAUCUUCUGUGACUGGGAUAUCGGGCUCAUUCCCAUUAUUGUGGGUG
rnacentral:lncRNA from 1 species